rnacentral:piRNA from 1 species
UGAAAUUGCAGCUUUACGUGUUUUGUAAC